ACCAAAACCGACACAGGUAGGCGGGGAGAGAAUCCUAAGGUGCGCGGGAAAACCCUCGUUAAGGAACUCGGCAAAAUGCCUCCGUAACUUCGGGAAAAGGAGGACUCAUGUAGUGUGAAGGGCAGUAACGCGUGGAGCAUGAAUGAGUGGCACAAGAGAGGCGCAAGCGACUGUUUACCACAAACACAGGUGCCUGCUAAAGCGAAAGCUGAUGUAUAGGUGCUGACACCUGCCCGGUGCUGGAAGGUUAAGAGGAGGGGUUAGACUUCGGUCGAAGCUCUGAAUUGAAGCCCCAGUAAACGGCGGCCGUAACUAUAACGGUCCUAAGGUAGCGAAAUUCCUUGUCGGGUAAGUUCCGACCCGCACGAAUGGCGUAACGAUGGCCACACUGUCUCCUCCCGAGACUCAGCGAAGUUGAAGUGGUUGUGAAGAUGCAAUCUACCCGCUGCUAGACGGAAAGACCCCGUGAACCUUUACUGUAGCUUUGCAUUGGACUUUGAAGUCACUUGUGUAGGAUAGGUGGGAGGCUUAGAAGCAGAGACGCCAGUCUCUGUGGAGCCGUCCUUGAAAUACCACCCUGGUGUCUUUGAGGUUCUAACCCAGACCCGUAAUCCGGGUCGGGGACCGUGCAUGGUAGGCAGUUUGACUGGGGCGGUCUCCUCCCAAAGAGUAACGGAGGAGUUCGAAGGUUACCUAGGUCCGGUCGGAAAUCGGACUGAUAGUGCAAUGGCAAAAGGUAGCUUAACUGCGAGACCGACAAGUCGAGCAGGUGCGAAAGCAGGACAUAGUGAUCCGGUGGUUCUGUAUGGAAGGGCCAUCGCUCAACGGAUAAAAGGUACCCCGNNNNNNNNNNAGGACCGGAGUGGACGAACCUCUGGUGUACCGGUUGUAACGCCAGUUGCAUAGCCGGGUAGCUAAGUUCGGAAGAGAUAAGCGCUGAAAGCAUCUAAGCGCGAAACUCGCCUGAAGAUGAGACUUCCCUUGCGGUUUAACCGCACUAAAGAGUCGUUCGAGACCAGGACGUUGAUAGGUGGGGUGUGGAAGCGCGGUAACGCGUGAAGCUAACCCAUACUAAUUGCUCGUGAGGCUUGACUCUAU
rnacentral:rRNA from 1 species